GCUGCGCUUCCUGGGAGCCAGGGUUCGGCGAGGACGCAUGGGCGUUGACUUAGCGCAGGGGUCCUCUCCCCGCAUGGGCGUUGACUUAGCGCAGGGGUCCUCUCCCCGCCCGGCCUCCGGGCUUCGCCCCCUGUGUGCUGUCCGGCCGCUGGAAGCCCUCAGCGUCUCGGAAGUUUUGAUUUGGGACUGCGAAAGGCUUUGAACUUGCUCAGAGUUAUGGGGGAGAGGCCACUGGUUUCCGGAGGCCUUUGGGGGACGUGAAGAGCGUCAGAGACAUUGGUGUUGGCAGUUAUCAGAUUGUGGUUUGCACCUGCGACCAGCUCAGGGACUCAGAUUUUAAGAGAUUGUCUCACCUCUCUUACCUCGCCAGAGACUCAAGAUAAUCUGAUGAAGAAGCUGACACCUAGUAAAGCAAAGAGCGUACAGGGUCACAGAAUCAGCUGAUGGCGGAGAUGGGGCAGAGGUCUCCUGAUUCCCAGUCCUGUUUUCACUCUCCUACACCAUGUAAGGAAAUUGACUAGUGAAAUAAUUUGAGGAAUGGAGAUGUGAACAACUAAGCUGACACCUGCCUCUCUGAGAUCUGAUCUUGUGUAUGGUAGUUGCUCUGUGGACGUUUGUGUGAUGGAUGGAUGGAUGAAUGAAUGAGAAGCAAACACACAGGAUUAGAUGGUGCAUCUCCCUGAGAAUCCUCAGUGUGCCUGUUCUCCACGGGACUGGAGGCUCUCUGCAGAGUCUGCACGUCCUCCUUCAGUCCUUUGCUGAUGACACCUCCUCCGUGUGAUAGGCCAGUUGGCCUGUUUCUGAAUGGCAACAUGCAACCCAUUCUCUAAAGCCCAGCUCAUAUGCCACCUCCCUGAUGAUGUCCCUUCAAACUCAUUCACCUCCAGAUUCCCAGACUCACCUUGUGAGCCUCCCCUAAAGGAUUGAGCACAUUAUUUCCUAGGACCUUACAGCCUAGUGAACCACCAGGGAGUGAAUGCAUCAGGGGAGCUCUCUGUGGUGAAAAGGGUUUGUAAAAUGAAGAUUUAUCCCUCAACUUUACAUGCUGACUUCGCGCAAAACAAGAUUCAGCUGCAAGCUAGAACACUGAUUGCCGGCCCUGCUUGCAACAGAAAAUGCUGAUGACCCAGUGAAUGUCUGCUAAAAAUUGUGUGAUUCUGGGGCGCCGGCCUGGCUCUGUCGGAAGACCACGAAACUCUUGAUUUCGGGAUCGUGAGUCUGAGCCCCAUGCUGGGUGUAGAGAUUACUAAAAAAAAUAAAUUUAAAAUUGUGUGAUUCUGACACGUGCUGCAACGUGGCUGAACCUUGAAGACGUUAUGCGAAAUGAAUUACUCAGCCAGCACCCCUCAGCCGCCGGCUCCGUCCGAGCUCCCGAGCCAAGCCUGAGGAUUCAAAGAUGAGAUCUUGCACUCACUCUUCCAGAGCUGGCUUCCGAGGGUGAAGGCAAGAAGCCCGUGACUCCGCUGAGCAAAGUCUUUGCUCCGGCAGGGAGGACUGAGGAAGAACUGGGCUCCACACCCAGCGAGGAACCCAAUGUGAGGCUUAAACUCACGACCCUGGGAGCAAGAC